CUUGCUAACCAAGUAUAAGAGGUCCCGCCUGCCCUGUGACCAAAAGUUUAACGGCCGCGGUAUUCUGACCGUGCAAAGGUAGCGCAAUCACUUGUCUUUUAAAUGAAGACCUGUAUGAAUGGCAUAACGAGGGCCUAACUGUCUCCUCCCCCCAGUCAAUGAAAUUGAUCUUCCCGUGCAGAAGCGGGAUUACCAACAUAAGACGAGAAGACCCUAUGGAGCUUUAGACACCAGACAGCCCACCCAAUUAUAACCCACUUGCAGGAAAAACACUGGCCCCUGUUCUACUUGUCUUCGGUUGGGGUGACCCUGGAGCAAAAAAUAGCCUCCGCGAGGACUGAGAUAACCUAUCUCACAGCCAAGACCCACUGUUCUAAGCAACAGAAUUUCUGACCAUAUGAUCCGGCUUACACCGAUCAACGAACCAAGUUACCCUAGGGAUAACAGCGCAAUCCCCUCCCAGAGCCCCUAUCGCCGAGGGGGUUUACGACCUCGAUGUUGGAUCAGGACAUCCUAAUGGUGCAGCCGCUAUUAAGGGUUCGUUUGUUCAACGAUUAAAGUCCU
rnacentral:rRNA from 1 species